UUUGAUAUUACUAUUACAUACUUUGUAGAUAAAUUGACAUAAUAGAUACAUUUUAAUUUUAAUUUAAAACUUAAAGAAUCUAAAUAACCUUUUAAUUCACUAUGCUGAAAACCUCAAAUGGAAAGGAAAUGAUGAACAUAGCCAGAAAAAGCAUUUAAUAUUGAGGAAAAUUAAAGGUGCUUUGUCUCACAUGGAAGAAGAAUUUCUGAGCGGACAAGCAGAGAGAUAAACAAGAAUUAUUAAAGUUGAAAACCUACAGCCAGACUGCAUGGAAGGGGGCUUCCAAGAGAGGAAAACCCCAAAGUGGUCUGUGGUCACUGUGAAGAUCCCGGAAGUCACACACACCCUAAAAACUCACAAUAAGAAAACUGAUGCAGAGCAAUGUACUGAUUCA